UACAGAGGCCCCAAGCGUUACUGAGAAUCACUGGGUUUAAAGGGUGCGUAGGUGGUCCGUUAAGUCCGUUGUGAAAUCCCUGGGCUCAACCCAGGAAAUGCUUCGGAUACUGGCGGACUUGAGGCUAGUAGGGGUCACUGGAACUGACGGUGGAGCGGUGAAAUGCGUAGAUAUCGUCAGGAACGCCAAUGGUGAAGACAGGUGACUGGGCUAGUUCUGACACUGAGGCACGAAAGCGUGGGGAUCAAACGGG
rnacentral:rRNA from 2 species